GUUUCUCCUCCCGCUGUUUGUGAAGCGCGCGCAGGUCAACGCCGAUCACUCGGCUUCUGCUGUUGAAGAUUCGGUUCUUGCGCUCAGCCUCCGCGGCCCGACGCCGCUCCACCGCCCGCAGCGCAGACUCAUCCACGGAGAGAAAGAUGCUGAGCUGAAUGAGAAAUGGCCACAGUGUAUCAAGGCCAAGGAGAAUACUGGCGAGGCAGGAGUUUGAGGAAUGGGUGGAAGAGUCAAGGCUGAGAUUUGACACUGGAGGAGAACCAGGUCAGUCGAACCUGAAUAAAAAAAUGCAAGCAUGUCCAUAAAUUUCAGUGUUUCAUUGUACACUAUUCUUAUAUCAGGUGAAGCAGUAUCACAGGCUAAAGGAGGAGACCAGCCAAAAUAAAACAGAAGAUUCUUGAGAUUGAGGAAAACCAAAAGUGCAUUGAAAAGCUGGAGGACUAUAUUGCAACCAGCAGGUGUUUCAAAGAACAUUAUAAAACUGAUAGUUUCAGGUCUAAAAAGAGAUUUUCUUUGUUGAUAUAUGCCUAUAUGUAUGUGUACAAUAUGUGGGAAACAACAUAUGCAAUAAUUAAUAUUAGAUACAUAUGAUUGUUUUGAAAGGAAAACCUUUUUUUUCAGCAGGGAUGCACU